GAGACCAGCAGAAUGACCCGCAGUGGUCGAAUCUAUACCCCCCAGUUUAAUGUGACCAGUGAAGCCUCUCGAGGACCUACAGAAGAAUCUACGUUUGCAGUUCUUAACAAGGAGCCUGAGGUGGUGAAACCUGAUGAAGUAGCAAAAUUUAUGAAGAUAAUCAAGAAAAUAGACUACAAAGUGGUCGACCAGCUGCAUCAGAUACCAUCAAAAAUAUCUAUUUUGUACCUGUU
rnacentral:lncRNA from 1 species